GACCUGGCGGCGGCCUACACAUGCAAGUCGAGCGGCAGCGGGAAAGUAGCUUGCUACUUUUGCCGGCGAGCGGCGGACGGGUGAGUAAUGCCUGGGAAAUUGCCCAGUCGAGGGGGAUAACAGUUGGAAACGACUGCUAAUACCGCAUACGCCCUACGGGGGAAAGCAGGGGACCUUCGGGCCUUGCGCGAUUGGAUAUGCCCAGGUGGGAUUAGCUAGUUGGUGAGGUAAUGGCUCACCAAGGCGACGAUCCCUAGCUGGUCUGAGAGGAUGAUCAGCCACACUGGAAUUGAGACACGGUCCAGACUCCUACGGGAGGCAGCGGUGGGGAAUAUUGCACAAUGGGGGAAACCCUGAUGCAGCCAUGCCGCGUGUGUGAAGAAGGCCUUCGGGUUGUAAAGCACUUUCAGCGAGGAGGAAAGGUCAGUAGCUAAUAUCUGCUGGCUGUGACGUUACUCGCAGAAGAAGCACCGGCUAACUCCGUGCCAGCAGCCGCGGUAAU
rnacentral:rRNA from 1 species